rnacentral:misc_RNA from 1 species
UUGUAGACUAGGUCAGCGGGUUAGCCCUCCGCCGCUUGCAAACGGGCUUUAGGCAGACUACGGGUGAGGCGUGAGAGAACUGUCAAUCAGUCUUUAUUUGGACGUUGAGGUUUUGUCCGUUUUGAUCUUGUAGUUGCGAAAUGGGUCAGGCCUUGAUCGGAGCAGCCCUAAACAGCUAUUAAGGUGCUUAGCGGGUCGCGAAACUGAGAAAAAAUAAGGGUUAGCUGCUUGGUUGUUUUCAGGCAAAUCACCUGGUCUACAC